rnacentral:rRNA from 1 species
UAGCUAGUUGGUGAGGUAACGGCCCACCAAGGCGACGAUCGGUAGCCGGACUGAGAGGUUGAACGGCCACAUUGGGACUGAGACACGGCCCAGACUCCUACGGGAGGCAGCAGUGGGGAAUAUUGCACAAUGGGGGAAACCCUGAUGCAGCGACGCCGCGUGGAGGAAGAAGGUCUUCGGAUUGUAAACUCCUGUUGUUGAGGAAGAUAAUGACGGUACUCAACAAGGAAGUGACGGCUGACUACGUGCCAGCAGCCGCGGUAAAACGUAGGUCACAAGCGUUGUCCGGAAUUACUGGGUGUAAAGGGAGCGCAGGCGGGCGAUCAAGUUGGGAGUGAAAUCCAUGGGCUCAACCCAUGAACUGCUUUCAAAACUGGUCGUCUUGAGUAGUGCAGAGGUAGGCGGAAUUCCCGGUGUAGCGGUGGAAUGCGUAGAUAUCGGGAGGAACACCAGUGGCGAAGGCGGCCUACUGGGCACCAACUGACGCUGAGGCUCGAAAGUGUGGGUAGCAAACAGGAUUAGAUACCCUGGUAGUCCACACCGUAAACGAUGAUUACUAGGUGUCGGGAGAUUGACCCUCUCAGUGCCGCAGUUAACACAAUAAGUAAUCCACCUGGGGAGUACGACCGCAAGGUUGAAACUCAAAGGAAUUGACGGGGGCCCGCACAAGCAGUGGAGUAUGUGGUUUAAUUCGACGCAACGCGAAGAACCUUACCAAGUCUUGACAUCCCUUGACGAUGCUGGAAACAGUAUUUCUCUUCGGAGCAAGGAGACAGGUGGUGCAUGGUUGUCGUCAGCUCGUGUCGUGAGAUGUUGGGUUAAGUCCCGCAACGAGCGCAACCCUUAUGGUCAGUUACUACGCAAGAGGACUCUGGCCAGACUGCCGUUGACAAAACGGAGGAAGGUGGGGAUGACGUCAAAUCAUCAUGCCCUUUAUGACUUGGGCUACACACGUACUACAAUGGCGUUAAACAAAGAGAAGCAAGACCGCAAGGUGGAGCAAAACUCAGAAACAACGUCCCAGUUCGGACUGCAGGCUGCAACUCGCCUGCACGAAGUCGGAAUUGCUAGUAAUCGUGGAUCAGCAUGCCACGGUGAAUACGUUCCCGGGCCUUGUACACACCGCCCGUCACACCAUGAGAGCCGGGGGGACCCGAAGUCGGUAGUCUAACCGCAAGGAGGACGCCGCCGAAGGUAAAACUGGUGAUUGGGGUGAAGUCGUAACAAGGUAGCCGUAGGAGAACCUGCGGCUG